UACGUAGGGUGCAAGCGUUGUCCGGAAUUAUUGGGCGUAAAGAGCUCGUAGGCGGUUAGUCGCGUCUGCUGUGAAAACCCGGGGCUCAACCCCGGGCCUGCAGUGGAUACGGGCAGGCUAGAGGCAGGUAGGGGAGAAUGGAAUUCCCGGUGUAGCGGUGAAAUGCGCAGAUAUCGGGAGGAACACCGGUGGCGAAGGCGGUUCUCUGGGCCUGACCUGACGCUGAGGAGCGAAAGCGUGGGGAGCGAACAGG
rnacentral:rRNA from 1 species